rnacentral:misc_RNA from 1 species
GAUGAAGAACGCAGCGAAAUGCGAUAAGUAAUGUGAAUUGCAGAAUUCAGUGAAUCAUCGAAUCUUUGAACGCACCUUGCGCCCUUUGGACAUUCCGAAGGGCAUGCCUGUUUGAGUAUCAUGAACACCUCAACUCUCACGGCUUGUCCGUGAUGAGCUUGGACUUUGGGGGUCUUGCCGGCCUGUGGUCGGCUCCUCUCAAAUGGAUCAGCUUGCCAGUGUUUGGUGGCAUCACAGGUGUGAUAACUAUCUGCGCUUGUGGUUUUCCAUCAGAUAACCUUCAGUGAUAUGGAGGUUCGCUGGAGCUCUCAAAUGUCUCUCCUUAGUGAGGACAGCUCUUUGAACGUUUGAUCUCAAAUCAGGUAGGACUACCCGCUGAACUUAAGCAUAUCAAUAAGCGGAGGA